AUGGCGGCAUCACACUAUGCCUACAAGACGUUGAAGAUGCCUGGGCCGAUGAGCAUCAUCACCGUCCCCUCCGGCAAGAAAGAUGCGCUGAUCUGCGCCGACCAACUCUACCGAGAGGCAGUUGCAACAACUGCUGCCAAGGCACUUGCUCCUGCCGCUGAAGCCCCGGGAGGGAAGAAGACCGGCAAGACCUCUCGCACCCACUCCGGCAAGCGCACCUCUCCGGAGUGCUGUGCUACCGUCGAGGACGUGCCAGAGAGCUCCACCGGCAAGAGCAAGAUAUCCAGAGCUGCACCACCAGAGACCAAGAAGGUGUCCGUCGAGGAGGAUGGUACGGGAGGAGCUUUCACCAUAAGCUCCACCCUCGACAACAAAUAG
rnacentral:rRNA from 1 species